UGGUUGUGACAGACUCCUCCCCAGCCUCGUAAGGAUCCUCAGACUCUAGGGCUUCAAGCACAAUGUCAGGAAUAGGUUCGGGGCAAAACUCAUCUGUGACAAAAUUGUCAAGAACCCUCUUGAUUAAUGGAGCUCCAAAUAUAGGGCAUACCUCUUUUCUUAUGGACCUGCUCAAGAGCAUGUCCUUGGGAAGCAUCAUGAGAUCACGCUCAAGGCAUUAAGGAGAUGGAAAGAUUUGAAGGAUAUGUCCUGUCUCUCAUCAUUCUCAUCCCUGUCAUUGUCCUCUUCAAGUGAGUCAUCAUC
rnacentral:misc_RNA from 1 species